UACCGAAGGUGCUUCCUCGGUCUGAGCGU
rnacentral:piRNA from 1 species